UCCUACGGGAGGCAGCAGUAGGGAAUCUUCCGCAAUGGACGAAAGUCUGACGGAGCAACGCCGCGUGAGUGAUGAAGGCUUUCGGGUCGUAAAACUCUGUUGUUAGGGAAGAACGAGUGCUAGUUGAAUAAGCUGGCGCCUUGACGGUACCUAACCAGAAAGCCACGGCUAACUACGUGCCAGCAGCCGCGGUAAUACGUAGGUGGCAAGCGUUAUCCGGAAUUAUUGGGCGUAAAGCGCGCGCAGGUGGUUUCUUAAGUCUGAUGUGAAAGCCCACGGCUCAACCGUGGAGGGUCAUUGGAAACUGGGAGACUUGAGUGCAGAAGAGGAAAGUGGAAUUCCAUGUGUAGCGGUGAAAUGCGUAGAGAUAUGGAGGAACACCAGUGGCGAAGGCGACUUUCUGGUCUGUAACUGACGCUGAGGUGCGAAAGCGUGGGUAGCGAACGGGAUUAGAUACCCCGGUAGUCCACGCCGUAAACGAUGGAUACUAGGUGUAGGGGGUCACUAACUCCCUCUGUGCCGAAGCAAACGCGUUAAGUAUCCCGCCUGGGGACUACGGCCGCAAGGUUAAAACUCAAAGGAA
rnacentral:rRNA from 1 species